AUUGAACGCUGGCGGCAGGCUUAACACAUGCAAGUCGAACGAGUGGCGGACGGGUGAGUAAUGCAUGGGAAUCUGCCCUAUGGCGGGGGAUAACUACUGGAAACAGUAGCUAAUACCGCGUACCAUUGGAUCAGCCCAUGUGGGAUUAGGUAGUUGGUGGGGUAAAGGCUCACCAAGCCGACGAUCCGUAGCUGGUCUGAGAGGAUGACCAGCCACACUGGAACUGAGACACGGCCCAGACUCCUACGGGAGGCAGCAGUGGGGAAGAUUGCGCAAUGGGGGAAACCUGACGCAGCCAUGCCGCGUGAAUGAAGAAGGCCUUCGGGUUGUAAAGUUCUUUCGGUAGAGAGGCGUUAACUACAGAAGAAGCACCGGCUAACUACGUGCCAGCAGCCGCGGUAAUUC
rnacentral:rRNA from 1 species